UGGCCCAUUAUUGAGACAUUUUUAUUGGGACAAGGGCUGGAGCAGAGAGCUGAAGGGAGAGACCCACUACUAACCCCCAAGUCCCUGGUGUUGUAUACCUGAGAAAGAUGAUGCAGCAGAGGCCACACCAUUAAUUGGGGGUGGGGGAGCAGGUUCCUCCCCCACCCCAGCCUGUUCCCCCAUGUAGAGAGAAAAGUGCUGGUUUAGAGAAGUAAUCAGUCUGAAAACCCACUCUGGUACUGGCCGAGGUUCAUCUGUGAAAUCAUGCAAACAUAUUGUGGCCAGGCAAACCAAUUCCAGUCAUUUCUGAUUGAGCAAAAGACUAAAUGAAGUCCUGCAUUUUCAUGUUCUAGGCAUUAGCAAAAGUGCAGAUUAGAUAAGACAAAAAUCACUUCUUCACAUCUGUGGAGAUUGAAUUACCUGCUUGCCGUUUGCAACUUGGAGAGAGUUGUUGUUAAAAGUUUAUAACACAGGGGAGGAACGUACAGGUCCUGCGCUACCUGGAUGGGGAGGGGCAGAACAGGAUGAUGGAAACCGGUUCCAUCCAGCCAUUCACAAUAGCUCGGCAAAUAUGGAAAACCAAAAACUGCUUUGGAAACAGCAAUAUAACAUGGUUUAAAGGGUCCAAAAGGUUGGUUUUACAUUAUAUAAUCCAUUUGAAAUUGUUACAAGCCAAUUUACCGGGCUAGCUCCACUCUCCUAGGUGUUAUUAAUUUCUCAGGGUUUGAUUUGUAAUCAGUGUAGUGUGUGUGGCAUCUAGUUACCAACGAACACCCUUACUCUGUAGAGAGUUGAUUAGCAAUCACCACAUUACCCAGGGCUUCUAAUUCGGACCAAAAUUAGUUCAAGCAGACACAAAGGAGGCGCAAACACACCUACACACACCCCCAGUCCAUGAAGCUUAUGUACACUUCAGGUUAAGACCCUUGCCAGCUGUUCCUUUUAUGCUGAGGAGACACCUGACUUUACCUGUAGCCUAGGAUGGAGGAAACGACUUAUAUCAAUAACACCUAGGGGUGGCAUUUACAACCAGCACCUCACCUUUGCUCGGUUACCGACAGGAGGAGACCCCACUCGCACAUCCUUUUUUCGUUCCUCGAAUCCGAGGAACUAGGUUUUAUUACACACAGACGAUAAAAGAAUAAUAAUCCAAACGAAACCCGAUAAAGCGGGUUAAAAAGUGAAACAACUCUUUGCCAAUAAACCGAGUUAUAGCAAAGUUUAGCUGAAUAAGCUCUCCAAAAAUGACAUUAGGUCAGAUUAUCACAGACAAAAAGCUCAAAGCAAAAGCUUCCUUCUUCCGAUCUCUCUACCCCACAAACUCUUCCCAACAAAGACCAUUCCUCCAGACCCAGUAGCUCCUUUUUAUUUACUCUGUCCCCCCUCCCUCACAGCCACCCUUACGGAGUCGCGUAGACCACUGAAAAAACGUGGUAGAAGGAUGGCGCCCAAAAGAAACUAUCCGUUUAGAGCAGAGAAAAGAAAGACAAAGGAACUGAAGGAAGAUAAAAACGAACGAAACAAAUGUAAGCUAGGAAGUCCAAUAAUAUCAUUUUUUUGUCAUGAUUAACCAGGCCUUUGGUUCAGUUUAUCCGUUUGGUUAGCUAGCUGGCUAGCGUUGCAGCCAGGUGAGUGCCAACAUUGUGAGCUACUGUAGAAAAAAAACUGUUAAAAUAUUGACGAUAGACAUCGGUUCAAAAUGAUCCGGUGAACGGUUAAGUAUUGAAUUUUACUCGUGACCUGUGUGAUAUGAAAACUUAAGCUGUAGCCAAGUAGGUUGUAAUGUGGAACAGGUAUACAAGCUUGGCUUAUGCCUCUGCGUCAUAGUGAUCUGUCCGCUGUCCGUCGCGAACGAAACAGCUCUCAGCCGGCUCCCUCUUGGAGGAUCUGGCUCCCGUGACAGACUGUACCUGCAGGCCCUGGAGCCUUAAAAAUAGGCAAAAUGCAUGCACGGCGCGCGUGCACACACACAGCUUGCAGCUGAUUGCCUUGAGACCGGGAGAGGAGGGUCGGGGGAUGCUGAUGUGCACCUCCGACGCUCUGAAAGCAGGGAGAGGGGUGGCACAAAAUGACUUGAAGGCACUCAUUACAUUAACUGAUGGGAGCUGUAAGUAUAGGUGGAGAAGAUUUGCAAACAAGGAGAAAGGAAACACAAACAGCUCUACAGAAAGAUGAGGAAAUAGGUCAAAACAGGACAGAGAGGUAGAUUUGGACACAUUUUAACUACAGGGACAAUUAAAAGUCUGUAUGAUUAAGGAUAGGAAAUGGAAGUUGUUCAUUAACUAGGUCUAUGCCCGUGUGUAGCAUUUUGCAGGAGCGCUUCUGAAGUAUUUUGAAGCAAAGCAGCACAACCUGUUGAAGCAAGUAGCGGUGCUUCCUCAGCUGAAGACACUGCAAGUUCAUCCUCUGUAUGGCUGUCGGCUUUUGAGAGUGGAGAGCACCUGCCAGCAGCCGAGAGCCAGAAGAAGAACCGACCAACAGCUGGGAUUGAGGAGCACCUACCAACAACAGCAUCGACUAGUCUGGAUUUUUCAACAUCAGCUGCUGUACCAGGCUUGUCUGCUUCAGGAAUUGAGGCGGCACCUUCCACAAAUUCCAGCCAUCAGCAUCUCCAGUUGCUCCAUCUGACUAGUCUCAUAUGUUGUCUGACUCAAAAAGGACUGAUCUGGUAAGUAGAGGACCAUUUUCUGUAAGGGAAAACCUCACAUUCCCGAAGAAGCCCGAUGGCCGAAGCUUUCACCGUCGCUACACACACAGACAGUUGGUUAAAGGGGCAACGAAUGAAACGAAGUCGGCUCACCUACUCAAACAGAAAGGAUGCAGUCAACUGCUUCUGUUGUAAACCGUUCUCCAAAAAGUCCACAAAACAAGCAACAGAGGGACAGCGUGACUGGGUCAACAUAGGUGCACUGCUUAAACAACAUCACUGCUGUUAAGGCGUACGUCUCUGUGUGUUUUGUGCAGUUAUUUAGGUCUUCUAUAUUUGUUUAAUCCAUAUUUUGUUCAUUUUUUUUGCAUAUAGAUAAUGUGAAUGUCAUUUGGUUUGGUUUUGUAACGAUUGCACAUUUCACGUAUUUUACACAUGUCAUAGGGACAUUAUGGAAGUUUGACAGCCAAAACAUGUAUAGAAAUAAUAAAUGUCUUCUUCAUACAUUCUCCUGCAAUGCCCUGGUCCUGUAGAAUGAGCCCUGGCAUUUUUACUGCGAUUGCCUGUUUUUCUGUAAAAUCACAGAAAAAGAGAGAUGCUCGGGUCGAGCAGGCUGCUUCAUGAAUAAGGAGAAAAGAGGAUCUUUGGAUUGUAAAGGUUGCUUGAUGUUCCUCUGACAGUUGGAAAGAUUA